CGUCUCCCCAAAGGAAGAGCUUCAGUAGAUUUCCCGGCAGAGGAGGAGGAGAAAAAGGUGGAGGAAUCCCUUACUUCAGUUGAGAUUAGGGAGAUGUGUAGGAAUGUGAGAAACAGCGCAGUAUUUUGUAGAGUAAGCACCACCACCACCGAAGUAAGGCCGUAGCAGUGUUUUGCUGUACAUAUUACACGUCCCUUUAGAAUUGUUACCUCGUCGUGUAAUGCGGUGCCAGCACAGGUUUCUACGUUUUUAUGUGCAGCGAAGAACUGGACAAAGCAUACAAUGGGAUAGAACUCAGGUCCUUGCACUUGCGCAUCAGGCGGUGAAACCACUGAGCUAAAUCCUCGGCCCAACAAUAUCUUUUAAAGAAUGUGCACUCAUCUAGGAGAACUAUAAAAGAUUGUGAAGUCCCAAAGACCAGCAGGAGGCCGUUUCCGAUGUAAGCACACGAGGGUCGUUUAUUCAAGCUUAAGCAGGGACUCUCAAUUGUCUCCGACACAGCGGAUCGAGAUUGAGAGCCCCGAGUUCCAAAUUAGCGGGGUUUUUAUAGAGGUUACAGCAAGGUUUGGAGAUUUUCCACUUAGCAAUUACAAUGAUUGGUCAGCGCUUAACAUGCAUGAAGUGUACAUUUCUGAUUGGGUGAACUCAUCAGGGCUAAGGGGUGAUUACGUAUAGGUUUUACAAAAGAAAAGAAGGACAAAGGUUAGUGGGCAACUGUCACGUAUUGAUGGUCAUCAGACACGGUGACUAAUGGUCACGACCACCCAGCACUGACAGUCAGCACAUUGACAGACUGUUCCUACAGAUAGUGGGCCCAGGAUGUUCAUUUCCUGGGUAAACAGAUGGCUGAGUAAUUAACUUAGGGAUUUUGGUUUGUUACAGAUUGUAUCUUUUGUCCUAGAUCAAGCACAUUUUAAUCAUUAAUGUGAGAGGACAAAGGAGACUACUCCAUUUUGGGCAAAAGUGGAGUCAUUCUGGUUUCACAUAAGCAAAAUGGAGUCACUUUGGUCUCA
rnacentral:lncRNA from 1 species